GUGGUUGCAUAUCUAAAACAAUACUCCGUACGCAAAUUUGGAUAGAAUUUUUAGCAAUCAAUUUAACUUAUACCUUAGUUCCUCGCACAGAAACCACUGAGUAUUUACGUCAAUGUUGGCGUAGAAUUGAACAAUACACGCAAGAAUGUGAAAAAUAUCACUUUUAGUUAUUCAAAUCGGAGAUAAAUAGUUGAAUGACAAAUUGGGUAUGUAAUUCUACUUUAAUUAGUAUGUUGCAAUAAACUCCUACUCAUUUGCCCUAUUACAUUUUUCUUAACUAAAACUAAUUGGCUAGCUCAUUUAUAUACUUGUAUUGGUCCCGCUAGUGCUGAAUAUCAAUCUGAUUUGUUUAGAAAUGAUGCGAUUAAAACUUAAAAAGAGAAGAUUGACGCUCAAUAUGGUGCGAUUCAUUCAAUGAAUAUAACGGGAGUGGUACCUGUAGAUAAACCGCAUAUGUUUUUUUUUUAAAUCAAAUCUGACCCCCAGACGCGCAUAUCUGGGGGUCAAGACUCCCUAGUCUAUAGCAUGAUUGUGAUUCAGCGCUCUUUGCAUGAGUGAAAAGACUGGGACUGGCCUUCAAGUUUGGUUUCAAAAGUUUCAAUUUCCUGUUGGAGGUAGCGUUCCAAUCGUAUUCAUUUGAAUGUGUGCGAUUUUUCAUGGGUGUAACAUGGGUGCAGAAAUUAUACGUGGUUUUAUACUGGUAAUUAUAAACCAAUCAGAUUGAUUUGUAAAAGUGUGAAAACGGAUGUUAUUAAAUACUCAUGGCAUUUCUAAUAAUCUACGCCAAACGAAAAUUUUAAAUUAAUUCCAGAAAUUAAUGUGCAUGCUUUCCUUCAAGCAGAUUUCUCGCCAUCCACCAUGGUGGCAUCACCGGGUUUGAUCGCUGUUCGUAAUCCUUCGUCCUCCACUUGUGUCACAUUGAUAUACGAUUUCUAAAUUUAAUCAAA